rnacentral:rRNA from 1 species
AUACGUAGGGGGCGAGCGUUGUCCGGAAUGAUUGGGCGUAAAGGGCGCGUAGGCGGCCCGGUAAGUCUGGAGUGAAAGUCCUGUUUUUAAGAUGGGAAUUGCUUUGGAUACUGUCGGGCUUGAGUGCAGGAGAGGGAAGUGGAAUUCCCAGUGUAGCGGUGAAAUGCGUAGAGAUUGGGAGGAACACCAGUGGCGAAGGCGACUUACUGGACUGUAACUGACGCUGAGGCGCGAAAGUGUGGGGAGCAAACAGGGUUAGAUACCCUGGUAGUCCACACUGUAAACGAUGAAUGCUAGGUGUAGGGGGUAUCGACCCCUUCUGUGCCGCAGUCAACACAAUAAGCAUUCCGCCUGGGGAGUACGGCCGCAAGGUUGAAACUCAAAGGAAUUGACGGGG